rnacentral:misc_RNA from 1 species
GAACGCAUCUUGCGCUCUUUGGUAUUCCGAAGAGCAUGCCUGUUUGAGUGUCAUGAAACUCUCACCUCCAAUCUUUUUUAACUAGAAGGUUGGGGCGUGGACGUGAGUGCUGCUGGUGCCCUGGUUGCAUCGGCUCACUUGAAAUUCAUUAGCUGAAUCCUUUAAAGUAGGUUCUACUCGACGUGAUAAGAUCUCCGUCGAGGACAGUGCUUCGGCAUUGGCCAACGAUAAAGUUGAUACGCUUCUAAUUAGCGCAGACUUCGAGUGCUGGCAAUUUUGACAACUUGGCCUCAAAUCAGGUAGGACUACCCACUGAACUUAAG